rnacentral:rRNA from 1 species
GCGUCACAGCACCAAAACCAAAAAUUCCAUACAUUAAAACAACUUCUUGCCAACAAAUCAGAGCUAUUCUAUAGACAUAUAGAAGAACUAAUGCUAGAACUAGUAACAAGAAAAACUUCUCUCAACACAACUGUAACUCAGCAAUAGAAAACCUACUGAAAAUUAACAGCCUUAGUAUCAUAAA